rnacentral:rRNA from 1 species
AAUCUGACCUCAAAUCACGUAGGACUACCCGCUGACUUAAGCAUAUCAAUUAGCGGAGGAAAGAACUAACAGGAUUCCCCUAGUAACUGCGAGUGAAGCGGGAUGAGCUCAAAUUUGAAAUCUGGCGGUUCCGCCGUCCGAGUUGUAACCUGGAGAAGUGUUUUCCGUGCCGGACCGUGUACAAGUGCCUUGGAACAGGACGUCAUAGAGGGUGAGAAUCCCGUCUUUGACACGGACCACCGGUGCUCUGCGAUGCGCUCUCGAAGAGUCGAGUUGUUUGGGAAUGCAGCUCAAAACGGGUGGUAAAUUCCAUCUAAAGCUAAAUAUUGGCGAGAGACCGAUAGCGAACAAGUACCGUGAGGGAAAGAUGAAAAGCACUUUGGAAAGAGAGUAAAACAGUACGUGAAAUUGUUGAAAGGGAAACACUUGAAGUCAGUCGCGUCUGCCGGAACUCAGCCUUGCUUCUGCUUGGUGCACUUUCCGGUGCGACGGGCCAGCAUCGGUUUCGGGCGGCGGACAAAUGAUGUGGGAAGGUGGCGGCUCCGGCCGCGUUAUAGCCCACGUCGCCAACGCCAUCUGGGACCGAGGAAUCCGGCGCGAGCCUGGGAUGCUGGCGCAAUGGCUUUAAACGACCCGUCUUGAAACACGGACCAAGGAGUGCUACGUGCUCGCGAGUGUUUGGGUGGAAAACCCGGACGCGCAAUGAAAGUGAAAGUCGAUACCCCUCGCGGGGGCACCGACGCCCGAGCCCGAUGUUUUCGGAGGGCCUUGCGGUGGAGCGAGUGCGUUGCGACCCGAAAGAUGGUGAACUAUUCCUGAGAGGGCGA